AUUGAACGCUGGCGGCAUGCUUUACACAUGCAAGUCGAACGGCAGCGCGGGCUUCGGCCUGGCGGCGAGUGGCGAACGGGUGAGUAAUGCAUCGGAACGUGCCCCGUAGUGGGGGAUAGCCCGGCGAAAGCCGGAUUAAUACCGCAUACGACCUGAGGGUGAAAGCGGGGGACCGAAAGGCCUCGCGCUAUUGGAGCGGCCGAUGUCGGAUUAGCUAGUUGGUGGGGUAAAGGCUUACCAAGGCGACGAUCCGUAGCUGGUCUGAGAGGACGACCAGCCACACGGGGACUGAGACACGGCCCAGACUCCUACGGGAGGCAGCAGUGGGGAAUUUUGGACAAUGGGGGCAACCCUGAUCCAGCCAUGCCGCGUGCGGGAAGAAGGCCUUCGGGUUGUAAACCGCUUUUGUUCGGGAAGAAAUCCUCUGGGCUAAUACCCCGGGGGGAUGACGGUACCGGAAGAAUAAGCACCGGCUAACUACGUG
rnacentral:rRNA from 1 species